GCGCAAGUGAUGGAAAAAUAGCUAUUUGGAAAAGAAUGACAUCAACAAAGGAACCACUGAUGCGC